rnacentral:rRNA from 1 species
GAUCAUGGCUCAGGAUGAACGCUGGCGGCGUGCCUAACACAUGCAAGUCGAACGGAGCUGCUUUGAUGAGAUCUUCGGAUGGAUUUAAAACAGCUUAGUGGCAGACGGGUGAGUAACGCGUGGGUAACCUGCCUCACACUGGGGGAUAACAGUUAGAAAUAGCUGCUAAUACCGCAUAAGCGCACGGUUCCGCAUGGAACAGUGUGAAAAACUCCGGUGGU